AGGGAACACAAGCAAGGGGAGUGGGAGAGGGAGAAGCAGACUUCCCGCGAAGCAGGGAGCCCGAUGCGGCACUCACCAGCUCCUUUGCUCUUGGAGACAUCUUCCAAAGAUUCCUGCUCCUCCGGCACCUGCUCUGAGAUUACUUCAUUCUGAUGACGCUUCUUCAUGCUGGCAGUGGCGGUUCUUCCCGAGAGUAGCAGCCAAACCCAGUUUGCAGUUUUUCCAGCACAGGCAGAACCAGGCACACUGUCAGCCCCAGCCAUCACCCCACAGAACUCGCUUCCUAGCCUAGAAAUUCCAGCACUGGCCAGGUGGCAGCCCUUCCGUAAGGCUCUGGUUUAAUAAUUCAAUGGUGAACACUGUUCCCUCAGCCUAUGAUGGAAAUAUUGUGGAGAUAGUCCUAACAGCUGUGCAACCUCGUGAAUAAAUUAAAAACCACUAAAUUGUAAAUGGUUAAAAUGAUAGAUUUUAUCCCAGUUUUGACAUUUGUUAUACUGGGUAAAGAAACUGCAAUUUUGGUAAGCAAUAGUAAAGAUGUCACGAGAGCAUUUUUUAAAAAUUGUGGCAAAAUACACACAUAACCUGAGUUGACCAUUUUUAGUUCAGUGGCACUGAGUACAUUCAUACUUUUAUGGAACCAUCCUCACCACAUCCAUUUGCAAAACUGAAACUCUACCCAUUAAACAGUAAUUCCCCCUUACCCUUUCCUAGUUCUGGCAUCCACUAUUCUACUUUCUGUCUCAAUUUGACUAAAGUGGAACCACACUGUGUAUGUCCUUUUGUGACUGGCUUACUUCACUUACCAUGUCUUGAAAACUCAUCCAUGUUGUGGCGUGAGUCAGAAUUUCCUUGUAUGUAAAUGCCGUAUUUCCUUUAUCCAUUCAGUCAACAGCAGACACUCGGGUUGCUUCCACCUUUUGGCUAUUGUGAAGAAUGCCAAUAAAUGGGUGUACAAAUA